AUUAAAUAGCCGCAGUAUUUUGACUGUGCGAAGGUAGCAUAAUCAUUUGUCUUUUAAUUGAAGGCUAGUAUGAAUGGUUGGAUGAGGGAAUAACUUUCUUUGUAUUAAAUAUUGAAUUUAAUUUUUUAGUUAAAAAGCUAAAAUCUUUUAAAGGGACGAGAAGACCCUAUAGAAUUUUACUAUUAAUUUGAUUAAAAUAUUUGGUAUAUAUAACUUUUAAUUUAGGAUUUAGUUUUGUUGGGGUGACAGUAGGAUUUUUUUAACUUCUAUAAUUAAUUUAUUGUUUAUUUGCAUUUUAAAGAUCCUUUAGUUUGGAUACUUAGAUUAAAUUACCUUAGGGAUAACAGCGUUAUUUUUCUGGAGAGUUCAUAUCGAUAGAGGAGUUUGCGACCUCGAUGUUGGAUUAAAAUUAGAUUUAAGUGCAGAAGCUUAAU
rnacentral:rRNA from 1 species